GUCCCUUCGGGGACAUAUUAUAUCAUGGAGAGUUUGAUCCUGGCUCAGAACGAACGCUGGCG
rnacentral:rRNA from 1 species